UGUAGCAAUACAUCAGUGGCGAACGGGUGAGUAAUGAAUCGCUAAUGUACCCCGGACUCUGGGAUAGCUGCCCGAAAGGGCAGGUAAUACCAGAUGAUAUAACCGAACCGCAUGGUUUGGUUCUCAAAGGUCCGCCGGUCUGGGAGCAGGCGAUUUCGUAUCAGCUAGUUGGUGAGGUAACGGCUCACCAAGGCGACGACGCGUAGCCGGACUGAGAGGUUGGCCGGCCACAUUGGGACUGAGACACUGCCCAGACUCCUACGGGGGGCUGCAGUAACGAAUCUUCCGCAAUGCACGAGAGUGUGACGGAGCGACGCCGCGUGUAGGACGAAGCCCUUCGGGGUGUAAACUACUGUCAGGGGUUAGAAAGUUCUGAUCAACCCCAGAGGAAGGGACGGCUAACUCUGUGCCAGCAGCCGCGGUAAGACAGAGGUCCCGAGCGUUAGGCGGAAUCACUGGGCUUAAAGCGUGUGUAGGCGGAUCGUUAAGUGCCUUGUGAAAUCCCAUGGCUUAACCAUGGAACUGCUUGGCAUACUGGCGGUCUUGAGCCACUUAGGGGCAACCGGAACAAAUGGUGGAGCGGUGAAAUGCGUAGAUAUCAUUUGGAACGCCAAUGGUGAAAACAGGUUGCUGGGAGUGUGCUGACGCUGAGACACGAAAGCCAGGGGAGCGAACGGGAUUAGAUACCCCGGUAGUCCUGGCCGUAAACGAUGUCGACUAGAUCGUGGUAGCUCUGACGCUAUCACGGUCGAAGCAAAAGUGCUAAGUCGACCGCCUGGGAAGUACGGUCGCAAGGCUAAAACUC
rnacentral:rRNA from 1 species